rnacentral:rRNA from 1 species
CCAAUAGCGUAUAUUAAAGUUGCUGCGGUUAAAAAGCUCGUAGUUGAAUUUCGGAAUUGAUGCAUCGGUCGUGCCUUAAGGGGCAUGAACUGGUGUAGCCAAUUUCUCACCUUCUGGUGAAUUGUUGAUGUUCUUAAUGGGUGUCUCAAUGAACUAGAAUUUUUUACUUUGAAAAAAUUAGAGUGUUUAAAGCAGGCAUUAAUUUGCUUGAAUACAUUAGCAUGGAAUAAUAAAAUAGGACAGUGGUUCCGUUUUGUUGGUUUCUAGGAUCACGUAAUGAUGAAUAGGGACAGUUGGGGGCAUGAGUAUUCAAUUGUCAGAGGUGAAAUUCGUGGAUUUAUUGAAGACUAACUAUUGCGAAAGCAUUUGCCAAGGAUGUUUUCAUUAAUCAAGAACGAAAGUUAGGGGAUCAAAGACGAUUAAGUACGUCGUAGUCCUAACCAUAAACUAUACCGACUAGGAAUCAGACGAUGUUAAUUUUUUAAUGACUCGUUUGGUACCUUACG